rnacentral:rRNA from 1 species
GCUAGAUUGAACGCUGGCGGCGUGCUUAACACAUGCAAGUCGCGCGUGAAAGGACUUCGGUCCGAGUAAAGCGGCGCACGGGUGAGUAACGCGUGGAUGAUCUACCCAUGAGUUAGGAAUAACGGCUGGAAACGGUCGCUAAUACCAAAUACGCUCCGAUUUCAACUUCGGGGGAAAGGUGGCCUCUGCUUGCAAGCUACUGCUCAUGGAUGAGUCCGCGUCCCAUUAGCUAGUUGGUGGGGUAACGGCCCACCAAGGCGACGAUGGGUAGCCGGUCUGAGAGGAUGACCGGCCACACUGGGACUGGAACACGGCCCAGACUCCUACGGGAGGCAGCAGUGGGGAAUAUUGCGCAAUGGGCGAAAGCCUGACGCAGCGACGCCGCGUGAGGGAUGAAGGUCCUCGGAUCGUAAACCUCUGUCAGGAGGGAAGAACCGCCACGGUGCUAAUCAGCCGUGGUCUGACGGUACCUCCAAAGGAAGCACCGGCUAACUCCGUGCCAGCAGCGGC